rnacentral:rRNA from 1 species
UCUUAGCGAAAGCGUUAAGUAAUCCACCUGGGGAGUACGUUCGCAAGAAUGAAACUCAAAGGAAUUGACGGGGGCCCGCACAAGCGGAGGAACAUGUGGUUUAAUUCGAUGAUACGCGAGGAACCUUACCCGGGCUUGAAAUGCAUUUGACCGACUCCGAAAAGAGUCUUCCCUUCGGGGCAAAUGUGUAGGUGCUGCAUGGUUGUCGUCAGCUCGUGCCGUGAGGUGUCGGCUUAAGUGCCAUAACGAGCGCAACCCUCAUCAUUAGUUACUAACAGGUUAAGCUGAGGACUCUAGUGAGACUGCCAUCGUAAGAUGCGAGGAAGGUGGGGAUGACGUCAAAUCAGCACGGCCCUUAUGUCCGGGGCGACACACGUGUUACAAUGGAUGGUACAACAGGCAGCUACUUGGCGACAAGAUGCUAAUCCCGAAAACCAUUCUCAGUUCGGAUCGAAGUCUGCAACUCGACUUCGUGAAGCUGGAUUCGCUAGUAAUCGCGCAUCAGCCAUGGCGCGGUGAAUACGUUCCCGGGCCUUGUACACACCGCCCGUCAAGCCAUGGAAGCUGGGGGUACCUGAAGCACGUAACCGUAAGGAGCGUACUAGGGUAAGACUGGUAACUGGGGCUAAGUCGUAACAAGGUACCA